GGACGGGUAGUAAUGCCUAGAAUCUGCUGGUAGUGGGGACACGUUCGAAAGGAACGCUAUACCGAUACGUCCUACGGGAGAAAGCAGGACCUUCGGCCUUCGCUAUCAGAUAGCUAGUCGAUUAGCUAGUUGUGAGGUAGUGCUCACCAAGGGACGAUCCGUAACUUGUCUCGAGAGAUCAUCAGUCCCACUGGACUGAGAACACGGUUCCAAAUUCUUACGGGAGGCAGCAGUGGGGACUCUUGGACAAUGGGCGAAAGCCUGAUCCAGCCAUGCCGCGUGUGUGAAGAAGGUCUUCGGAUUGUAAAGCACUUUAAGUUGGGAGGAAGGGCAUUUACCUAAUACGUAAGUGUUUUGACGUUACCGACAGAAUAAGCACCGGCUAACUCUGUGCCAGCAGCCGCGGUAAUACAGAGGGUGCAAGCGUUAAUCGGAAUUACUGGGCGUAAAGCGCGCGUAGGUGGUUCGUUAAGUUGGAUGUGAAAUCCCCGGGCUCAACCUGGGAACUGCAUUCAAAACUGACGAGCUAGAGUAUGGUAGAGGGUGGGUGGAAUUUCCUGUGUAGCGGUGAAAUGCGUAGAUUAGGAAGGAAACACCAGUG
rnacentral:rRNA from 1 species